rnacentral:pre_miRNA from 1 species
AAUAAACCAAAUUUUCACUUUUUACCUUUAAUUUUUGACUCUUCGUCUUAUUCAAAAUUUUUUAUGAUUGAUAUUUUUGUUUUUAUUAAAUGAUAAAUCAUAAAUAGUACUUUACGUGUGACUAAUUUUUUUUAAUUUUCUCAAAAAUUUUCAAAUAAGAUAGAUGGUCAAACGUUGGACACGAAAACCGGAG